CUGGGUGGCUCAGUCGGUUGAGCGUCCGACUUCAGCUCAGGUCAUGAUCUCAAGGUUCGUGCGUUCCAGCCCCAUGUCGGGUUCAGUGCUGACAGCUCAGAGCCUGGAGCCUGCUUCGGAUUCUGUGUCUCUCUCUCUCUGCCCCACUUGCACUCUCUCUCUCUCUCUCAAAAAUGAACAUUAAAAAAAAUUUUUUUAAAUAAAUAAAUAAAAUCCCUCCCACCAGAGCAAUAGGAAGGAACUUUUCUUGGGUGGUGAUAAUGUGCUACAUUUUGAUAGGGGCUGUGUUAUUUGUCAAAACGCAUGGGAUGGUUCACUAAAGGUUU